UACGUAGGUCCCGAGCGUUGUCCGGAUUUAUUGGGCGUAAAGCGAGCGCAGGUGGUUUAUUAAGUCUGGCGUAAAAGGCAGUGGCUCAACCAUUGUAUGCAUUGGAAACUGGUAGACUUGAGUGCAGGAGAGGAGAGUGGAAUUCCAUGUGUAGCGGUGAAAUGCGUAGAUAUAUGGAGGAACACCGGUGGCGAAAGCGGCUCUCUGGCCUGUAACUGACGCUGAGGCUCGAAAGCGUGGGGAGCAAACAGG
rnacentral:rRNA from 1 species